GCUCAGAUUUGAAACCUCCGGGGUGGAAGCCUGGUUUACUGUGGUUCUCUUCAGUGUUUAUUGAGAGUGACUGAAGCGAUCAAUCAACCAAUUACUCCUCUUUGGAAGGGAAAAGAGUGCGUGUCCUCAACGCUGGCUGUAUCGUUAGACUCGCCCCGAGCUAGAAAGGCCACGCCCCGGCCACGCCCCCCUAAGACCCUGCGAGGGACCCAGACGUGAGUGCUAAAGCACACUAACAACGCCCCGAUGCUGGUGCAAGGGUGGAGCACUGCAGUAAAAGGAGAAAGAUGGAAGAUGACCGAGGAACAGGAAGUGGGAAAGCCUACGGAUCAGAGAGGUACCUGUCUGAAACCAGCAAUUCCUGGACCAGUUUUAGGCAACAAGAGACUUGAUGCUUCAAAGAGAUCCCAGAAAAGGUCGAAAUGCCAGCCCUUCUGCUCUUUCUGAGCACGCCCUGGGGACACACGAGGCCAGCUGAGCCUGCUUGUCAGACACCAUGGUAGCCUCUUCCCUUCUGCAGAGGCCUAAUUGCUUCUCACCAAUUCCCAAACAUCUCAGACAAGCUGGGAAUGUUAUGGACAGCGACAGCCUCCCGGUUCAAGCACAUCAAAAAUAAGUCCUGGUCAUUCAUGUAAGGACUGCUUGGGGCUUUUAAACCUUCAAACAUCUCAUCUCUGCAAACAUGAAAAACAACUACCUUAUGCUGUGGCCUCCCAGAAAGGUCACGGCUUCCUCCUUUAAGCACUGCCUUGUGACUAGAUGCUAAUGCUGGGUAACAAGCAAGCCCUUAUCUAAUGGUUCCAACUCUGGAAUGGAAAGAGCAGAGUUUGCUCAGAGGAGCAUGACUUCUGGGUAGCCCAGAGAAGCACAGAUCUCUUCCAGGAAUCCAACUCCUUCCUUUUCUUCUGCUUAACCUUUUAUCUUAGAUCCUCAGAGAAUGCUAAUAGCAGACAGCAGAGACUCAACUCAGGGUUGACUGAGAUGACCCCGUAUGGGCACAGUAAGGCCCAAGGGCCAAGGCAGCCCUUCCCUCUCCCAGCCUCCAACUCCCUGUGAGUCCCAGAUGGAGUAUAAUCUCCCUGGAGCCCUUUGGGCUCCAUGCCACAAGAAGGAAUUCCUCCAAUCUUGUCCCUGCAUCUUCCUAGAUUUUCCAUGGAAUUAGUGGUGCCUCCACAGGCCAUGACCUUUCCCAGGACAUUGUGUUAUAUGCCCAGGACUCCUGUCCAGGGCAGGCUUUUUCUAUUAAUAUUCAAGACCAAAUGAAUGGAUCCCAGCUUCAUUCUCAGAUACUUAGUCUUGCCCAGGGUGGGUUUUUAUAUCCAUUUCAGUACAUUUCUUUCUUUCUCUAUAUUAGUUUGUUUUCUGUUGCUGUAACAAAAACCUGAGGCUGGAUACUUUAUAAAGAAAAGAGAUGGAUUUGGUUGAUGAUUCUGGUGGCCAGAGGAUUCAUACAUGGCAUUGGCAUCCUGAUAAGGAUCUCCUGGCGGCAUUAUAUUAUAAUAUAGGAAAGUUGAAGGAGAAAUAGUUGAGUUUUGAAGGGGCCAAGUAUGUGGAGUGGCCUUCCUAUAUAACAACCCACUAUCAUGAAACUAAUUUAUUCCACGAGACCAGCAUUAAUAGGGCCCUACGUCCACAACCUAAUCACCUUCCCUAGGCCCUGUCUCUUAAGGAUCCCACCUUCUCAACACCACCACACUAGAGACCACUUUUCAAAAAGGUGAACCUUUAGGGGAAACACUCAAACUACAUCCAAGCCAGUGUAUUCCCCUUGUAACGUCGGACUUUCCAUUUGGCCUCUCGGGUAACAGCAAACUUCUGUCUCACAGCUUUUGUGGAUUUGUUUGUUUUGGGGCUUGAUUUUUGCUUCCCAGCAUCUACAGAAUUAAGACUCUUUCUCCUUCACUUCAUCUCUGCCUCAGCCAAGAGGUUGGGCCUCUGCUUUGACCUAUUGUUCUCUCAAAGCAGCAGCCAUUACCAUGCUUGCUUGGGAGAAAAACAGAGUGGUGUUCUAAUGUUUCUAGGCCAGUUAACCCUGGAUUUAUUCAAAGUUCAAGUUCGGCAAGCUCUCAUCUACCCAAGCAAUGGGAAACACAGUCCUCCUGCUGGGGCCCACUUUGCACGCCACACAUGCCAUCUGUUGCCCUCGGGACUGGAGGUGACCACAAAUCUGGACAUUCAUGAUAGCUCUGUUACAUGGCCAUCACUGCAGAAAUGCACACUGUUUUUCUUGCUGGCUAGAUUAUGGGGUUGAAUGGCAUCCCCCAAAGUCACAUACUUCCCAGAAGCUCAGAGUGUGCUGUUAUCUAAGAAAUAAUGUUGCAGAUGUCAUUACUUAGAAUGAAGUCAUCUUAGAAUAGGCAGGGCCCUUAAUCCAGUAAGACUGGCAUCUGUACAAGAAAAGAUAGAGGCACAUGAGGAGAAGGCCACAUGACGUGUGAGGCAGAGAUUGGGGUGAUGCGCCUACAAGCCAAGGAACACUGAGGACUGGGCACCCAUCAGAGGCUGGGAACAGGAAGGAACAGCUCUUCCUUAGCCUCUCCAGAAGGAACCAGCCCUGCCAACACCUUGCUUUCAGACUUCUACCCUCCAGAACUACAAGACCAUAAAUUCCUAACAAGUUAAGCCUUUAAAUGGUGGUGAAUAAUUACGGCAACCCUAAGAACCUAAUACAAUGGAUUGAAGAGUGUGGAUUUGGAGAUUUUUUUUCCCCAUAUAUUUCCAUUUUUAGAAACCUUAGCUCUGCUGAAUUGGACUAAAUUUAACUAUCUUUAACCUGUGAUUAGCAUAAUUUCCUAACCUACCUCUAUUUGUUUGUUUAACUAGCCAUCCUCUCAGAACCCCUGCAGUAGAACAAUAAAUGUAUUCCUGGCUGAGAGUGGUGCAGAUUACCCAGAGAUCUUGUUAAAAUGCUGGUCUGGAUCCAGUAGGUCUUGGGUGGGGUUUGAAGUUUUGCAUUGCUAACAAGCUCAGAGUGACCCAGGGCCUCACUUUGAGUCACAAGGACAAAAACUACUCAAAGUCUUGAGAGAUCUCAAAUCAUUCCCAUUUGACCUUGGAAAGGUCUUUACCUUUAAAGCAGGACACAGGCACAACUUGCAGCCUGCAUCAGACAACAUAAUCAAGUCACACUGAUGUUCUACUUGAGGAAGAGGUAAGUAGGUGCCUGUUUCCACAGUCCUGUGCUCACUCAACCAAGUGUUGACACUUGCUUUGUGUUAGACGCUGUGUGAGACCAUUUCUUGCUGGAAAAUGAUUUUUCUCUCUUCUCACCCUGAUAAAGGAUGGCUCAGACUUGCAGACUCACAAACAGCACCACUGGACCGUGCAGCUGGCUUUCCCCCAGUUGGUUUGCUCCAGGCUUCCCUCUGCAAGGGAUUGCCUUCAUACACAGCCAGAGUGGGAGGGGCGAGAGCCGGCUGCAGAGCUGCUGGAUUCUGGCCAUGAUGAAGAAAGCAAUGUUCCUGAAUUGAUUCAUAAAGGGCUCACUUUAAGAAAACUUAAUAAGGCAAGAAAAAAUCUAUAUAGAAGGCCCCCCCAUAAGUCAAUAACCCUUUUAGAAGCAAGCUGGAAAGCUGUUUAUAACAGUUUUAGUUCAUAUCCUUUCUGAAAAAAAUUAAUAUAUAGGAAAUGGCUACAAGGGCAAGGAAUUCCAUUUGAGGGAGCAGGUUAGGUAAAACAAAGCCCAACUUUGGGGUGUGUGUGUGUGUGUGUGUGUAGGAUAAAGCCAAGGCUGGAUUUGUGCAUUGUAGGACAGAUUGUCACUUAUAAUGUAAGGAGAAAGAUGAGAGAGGUCUCCCACUAUGGAAACAUCUAGUAAUUCCUGAAAUUCCAUCAAUACCUUUCAUUUCUUCUUGUAUAUUGAUUCACUCCUUCAUUCAACAGGCACCAACCAUAUGUCAGACACUAUAGGAAAACUAGAGGGGAUCAUUGAGCUACGUGGCUCUUUCCCAGACACUGCCAUCUUGCAGGGCAGACAAACACACCAACUAGUAUUGUUAGUAUUCUGUGAUAAACUGCUGUAGGACCCCAGAAGAUACAAGUUUUCACACUUCCUCAUGGAUUCUGAGAAGGUUUCACAGCAGAACCAUGGCUUGGGGCUCAUGGGGCUCAGCACCAUCAGUUCACAGCUUGCCCUCAGCAAGAGCGGCUGUUUUGAGGGGGGUAAGGUUGGAGGACCCUUGUGAAUCAGCCAUUUUUUUCCCCCUGUGAAUUGGUUCUUCCUAAAAAUAUGUUCUAAGAAGCAAGAAUCCCACCAGAUGCUUUGAAAAAAAAAAUUCUGUGAUGUAAAUUCUGUGAGAAAUGCAUUGUAAUGGAACCACAUCUGUGUUUUCUAGAGAAGUUGUGUUAUAAGAGUCUCUUUGGACAGGUGACCUUCAGCAACUAAUCUCUACAAACUCCAUGGGGACUUUAACAAUUUAGAUCUGAG